rnacentral:rRNA from 1 species
UACGUAGGGUGCGAGCGUUAAUCGGAAUUACUGGGCGUAAAGCGUGCGCAGGCGGUUUUGUAAGCCAGAUGUGAAAUCCCCGGGCUUAACCUGGGAAUGGCAUUUGGGACUGCAAGGCUUGAGUGCGGCAGAGGAGACUGGAAUUCCUGGUGUAGCAGUGAAAUGCGUAGAUAUCAGGAGGAACACCGAUGGCGAAGGCAGGUCUCUGGCUGGACACUGACGCUCAUGCACGAAAGCGUGGGAGCGAACAA